CUGCUGUAUGGGACGGCAGAGGACAUGACAGCGCGGCCCCAGACCCCCCAGAAAGUCAUUGUCCCCUCUCCAUCGUGGCAGAACUCUGCCUCAUCUCCAGCAAGCAGUGGUGGUGGCUCUACAGCCACACACAGCAGCCAGUGACCAAGGGACAGGACAGCUGUCACCCUCCUACCACACCUGCUCGGCAGCUUGACCAGCGACUACACUGCCUGUUCCCUGCCCCUCAUGCUGGGAGUGCUUCAGAGCCCCUCCAAGGCUUGUCACCUCUGGCAGCCAUCCUGGCUAUCAGUCUUGGGCCAUGGUGCUGUCCCUGCUAACCAGGGCCUUUGGAAGGCCCCUCAUCUUGAGGAAGGCCCACCUCUCCCCAGGCUGGAUACCCCUGGAGAGCCAGAGAUGCCCCACUCUCAGGACAGAAGGCCGGUACCCCAAGGCCCUGCUCCCAGGCCGGGAUAGGAAUAUGCCCCAGAAGGCCACGGCAGAGAGCUGCAUGGGUCACGUGACAGCCCGCAGCUCAGCCUCAGCUGCUCCCAGUGGAAGAGACGUUUCCUCACUCUUUUUGGAGCAGGUAUGGCAGACAAGAGGUCAGACCACAGCCACCAACCACCUGCCCCUUCCCUGUCUCCAAACCAUCCCCAUGUCUAACCUCAUAGUUGGCAAAUAAAGUUAAACAGAAG
rnacentral:lncRNA from 1 species